rnacentral:rRNA from 1 species
GACGAACGCUGGCGGCGUGCUUAACACAUGCAAGUCGAACGAUGAACCCGGAGCUUGCUCCGGUGGAUUAGUGGCGAACGGGUGAGUAACACGUGAGUAACCUGCCCUUGACUCUGGGAUAACUGCGGGAAACUGUAGCUAAUACCGGAUACGACCCUCGGCGGCAUCGCCAGGGGGUGGCAAGAAUUUCGGUCAAGGAUGGACUCGGGGCCUAUCAGCUAGUUGGUGAGGUAACGGCUCACCCAGGCGACGACGGGUAGCCGGCCUGAGAGGGUGACCGGGCACACUGGGACUGGGACAGGGACCAGACUCCUACGGGAGGCAGCAGUGGGGAAUAUUGCAGAAUGUGCGCAAGGCUGAUGCAGCAACGCCGCGUGAGGGAUGACGGCGUUCGGGUUGUAAACCUCUUUUAGUAGGGAAGAAGCGAGAGUGACGGUACCUGAAGAAAAAGCACCGGCUAACUACGUGCCAGCCGCCGCAGUAA